CCCUUAGAUGUUCUGGGCUGCACGCGCGCUACACUGGUGCGUUCAGCGAGUUUAGCACCUUAACAGAUAUGUUUGGGUAAUCUUCUGAAAACGCACCGUGAUGGGGAUCGAUUAUUGUAAUUAUUAAUCGUCAACGAGGAAUUCCUAGUAAGUGUGAAUCAUCAGUUCGCGCUGAUUACGUCCCUGCCCUUUGUACACACCGCCCGUCGCUCCUACCGAUUGAAUGCUCAGGUGAGCCAUUCGGACUUUCAUCAUGCUGGUUUCCAGUUUUGAUGAAGGAAAGUCUUGCGAACCUUAUCAUUUAGAGGAAGGAGAAGUCGUAACA
rnacentral:rRNA from 1 species